AAUUACCUUAUAUCUCUCUCUAAAAGAUUAGAUUCAAAAGAGUAUAAAGAGAACUAAUUAAAGAUGCAUUUAACUCCCAUCCUAAGGGCCCUCCUCCUCAUGGCCAUUGUUGCAACACUCUUUUGUGCUCAUUUCGACUUGGUUCUUGGAGAUGGUAAGAAUUUUGGCUCUUUAGAACUUUAUCUAAAGCCACAUGACGUUCUUGUUAGAAGCUUUAGUGUCUUCAAUUUUGUUUUUUUUUUUUUUUUUGAGAGAUAGUUAGUACGCUACCCGCUUCGUUUAUUUCAUUUAGAAAUAAACUUAGCAAGAAAUGUGAAUUAACUAGGAUUCGAACUUAGGUCUCAGGUACCAACCACCAAGCCCUUUGCCACUUGCUCUAGGGACGGUCGAUGUGUCUUCAAUUUUGCUAAAAAGAUCUUUUUAUGCUUAUAUACUUUUACAAGAAUAUAGAUGUAGUAAUAGCUGAGUUAAAAUACUAUCUGUAGCAAAUGGGCUAUGUUGCUACUAAUUUAUUUUCGAAGUUGGAGGUUCUGAAUUAAUGAUCGGUACCGUUGAAUAUAAUCUAGACCACUCGAAAUAUCUAGAAAUCAAUCAACUUUUAUGUUUUUUCGGUAUUAUUUUCUUAUUCAUUAAAUGGACACAAAAAAUGAACGGUUAGAAAUAAAUUAUCUUUCAAAAAGUGCUGACAGGAUUCAAGAUCAAGAGUGCAUAUCUUAUUUUAAAUAGCUUAAAGAAUUGUUUAAUCAAAAUUCAAUUGAUUUAUAUUUCAUUAUACAGUUAAACGAGCAAAUGCCUCAUAUCAACUAUUAAAAUUAUAAAUUUAACAAUCCUUUGAAAAGAUUUAAAAUUUGAUUUCUAGAUAUUUUAAGUGCCAUAGAUCAUGUUCAACGAUACCGGUCGUUGAUUUGGAGGCCUCAUCAUCGAAAAUAAAUCAGUAGCAAUAGAGCAUGUUACCGACUGUUCCUAAAGCAAGUGGCAAAGGGCUUGGUGGUUGGUACCCGAGACCCAAGUUCGAAUCCUAGUUGAUUCACAUUUCCAGCUAAGUUUAUUUCUAAAUGAAAUAAACGAAACAGAUAGCGUGCUAUCUAUCUCUCAAAAAAAAGCAAUAGCUAGAGCAUGUUUGUUACCGAUAGUAUUCAAGCCCAACUACUCCAUAUAAUAGAAUAUUACACAACAAGUUUAAAUACAAGCUGGGCAGCUUCUCGCUGAAGGUAGCUAGAAGCAAAAGAUUCAUAUUAAAACUUUUGCAUAACACCCGCCCGCCCGGAGAGUAAGUGGCAAAGAAUUUGAUGGUUUAUGUCUGAGGUCCAAUAAUUACUUCACAUCUUUUGCUAAAUUUAUUUCUAAAUAAAUAAACGAAACUGAUAACAUGUCACCAUUCUCUCAAAAAAAAAUGUUUUGCUUGACUGCAUUUUAUUCAUAUUACCCAACGGAUGUCUUCUGCUUCUCAAGUAAUAACGAAAGCCACUCAAACUGUUAUUGUAUGGGAUUUCAUUGAAAUAUACAAAUCUUUAUAUUUCUUUCAAUCUAUACGGACACUUCUAUAAGUCUCGUGUGUCCGUAUCGGACACGCGCGUAUCCGUGUCGGAUACGUGUCCGAUCUGGACACUUUUUAGACGCGCAUUUUAUGUUGAUCUAUAGCGCAAACAAUUAAAAAAUAUAUAUACAUAUUUUUAUUUUAUCUUAUUUAUGCAUAUAUAAUGUAAGAUAAUAAAUAUUUUAGAUUUUUGAUGUAUGCAUACAAAUUUUUUUUGAUAAUACAAGUAAAUUAUGUAUGAUGGAGUAUUUUUUUCUUAAAAUAUAUAAACUAUCAAUAAAAAUUUUACAAACUUUUAUUUGUACAAGAAAUAUAAUAAUAUUUUACCAAAAUUAAUAUUUUAUAUAUAACAAAUUUAUAUUAUUAUAUAUAUUAAUAAUAUUUUAUAUAUGAAUUAAUAAUAUUAUUAUAUUCAUAAAUAUUUUAUUCACAUCACUGAUAAAAGCCAUAUUUUCUCCUGCUUUAUUCAGGGGCAGGGAGGAGACUUUGCUAGGAAGGAGUGGCUACAAUGGCCGGCGAACCCCGCAGUUAUCAAUUCCC
rnacentral:lncRNA from 1 species